rnacentral:misc_RNA from 1 species
UCCGGUUUAACACCGGCAGUCUCCUCAGAGUACCCAACUUAAUGCUGGCAACUAAGGACAAGGGUUGCGCUCGUUACCGGACUUAACCGAACAUCUUACGACACGAGCUGACGACAGCCAUGCAGCACCUAUCACCAUGUCCCCGAAAGGAACGCUACAUCUCUGUAGUUGUCAUGGGAUGUUAAAGGUAGGUAAGGUUCUGCGCGUUGCUUCGAAUUAAACCACAUACUCCACCGCUUGUGCGGGCCCCCGUCAAUUCCUUUGAGUUUUAGCCUUGCGACCGUACUCCCCAGGCGGGAUACUUAAUGCGUUAGCUUUAGUACUCAGGAGGUUAACUUCCCAAACACUUAGUAUCCAUCGUUUACGGCGUGGACUAC